UGGGGAAUUUUGGACAAUGGGCGAAAGCCUGAUCCAGCAAUGCCGCGUGUGUGAAGAAGGCCUUCGGGUUGUAAAGCACUUUUGUCCGGAAAGAAAUCCUUGGCUCUAAUACAGUCGGGGGAUGACGGUACCGGAAGAAUAAGCACCGGCUAACUACGUGCCAGCAGCCGCGGUAAUACGUAGGGUGCAAGCGUUAAUCGGAAUUACUGGGCGUAAAGCGUGCGCAGGCGGUUUGCUAAGACCGAUGUGAAAUCCCCGGGCUCAACCUGGGAACUGCAUUGGUGACUGGCAGGCUAGAGUAUGGCAGAGGGGGGUAGAAUUCCACGUGUAGCAGUGAAAUGCGUAGAGAUGUGGAGGAAUACCGAUGGCGAAGGCAGCCCCCUGGGCCAAAUACUGACGCUCAUGCACGAAAGCGUGGGGAGCAAAACAGGAUUAGAUACCCUGGUAGUCCACGCCCUAAAACGAUGUCAACUAGUUGUUGGGGAUUCAUUUCCUUAGUAACGUAGCUAACGCGUGAAGUUGACCGCCUGGGGAGUACGGUCGCAAGAUUAAAACUCAAAUGAAUUGACGGGGUCAUAGCUG
rnacentral:rRNA from 1 species